UUUUCCCUUAUCCACGCCGUCGCUUCCUCUAUUGUCUGGGACAACCGAGCGAGACUAACCUUCACAUAUAUCGCCAAAAUGGCGAUCACAGCCGGAGCUGGAGUGGACCUCGGCCUCUCCCGCUCCCCGUUCCUCCCUCGCUUCAAGAAGAUGCCUCCCAAUCGAAGCCCCUUUAUUUCCAGAAUUGCGCGGAGAGCGAAACCCCCCUUGGCGGCGAUGGGGGCCGCCGACCUUCUCGCCGAGGUUGCACGCUAUGUAGACCCUUUGUUGGGCGUGGGCGUUGGUCUUCCCUGCACGGUCAUGGAGUGCGGCGAUAUCAUUUACCGGAGUACUCUCCCAAGGCAGAGCGGCCUCACCAUCACGGCUCCCGGUGUUGCCCUAGCUCUGGCUGCUGCCUCUUAUCUCUGGGCUACCCCCGGAGUCGCACCGGGCUUCUUCGAUAUGUUCUUUCUCGCCUUUGUUGAGCGCCUAUUUCGUCCCUCGUAUCGCAAGGAUGACUUUGUCUUGGGAAAGAAGCUUGGAGAGGGAGCCUUCGGUGUUGUAUACAGGGCCUCCAUUGCCAAAUCCAAGCCUUCUGCCCCUAAGCUAAUGAAACAGGGUGAUUUGGUUCUCAAAAAGGCCACGGAGUAUGGUGCCGUGGAGAUUUGGAUGAAUGAACGGGUGAGGAGGGCUUGCGCCAGUAGCUGUGCCGACUUUGUGUAUGGCUUCCAAGAGAGCUCCGCAAAGGGGAAGGGGAGAGGUGAGUACUGGCUCAUAUGGCGGUUUGAGGGUGUGGAUACACUAUCAGAACUCUUGACAAAUAAAGAAUUCCCCUACAACGUAAGCAAUUCUUUUUGACUUCUUCCCAUGAUUCUUCUGCUCUUUAUACUUAAAUUGCAAUGCUGGAAACGAAAUUUAUGAAGCCAAGCAGCAUGUGAUUGAGGGAAAACUAAAGGAUUGGCUUGUCAUAGCAAUCAAAGCGUAGCUUUACUAAGGUUCACAGAAACAUGUGCGCUAUUUGUUGAGUGAUUUAUGAGACACAGUAGUAUAUUAAUAAACAACGAUUUAGGCUCUGUUCCGCUUUUUUCGCGAGGCGCGGCCCCAAAUCGCUACAUUCGUUAGUUUGGAUGCCAACUUUGCGGCCGCACACCGCUAGAGUUGGUGAAAAGCGGGCCGCGGGAUCGACCCUUGGCGCCGCUAAUAUUACCAUAGGCCCCGCGAUCCUCUUUCUCGCCCGCAAUUUUCUUGUCUCGCGAACGCUUCCCGCCUGGUGUUCUGAAGCCUUCUCGCGAAGCCACCCGCGCCUUCGUCUUCCUCGACGAGCCAGGUAACCUGCGCCUUCUUCCUCGACGAGCAAGAUCUAAGGAAUGCUUUACUUUGCCGCACCUUGAGAUCUGCCUUCUCUGCUCAUUCCUCCGUCCUCUCUAUAUUGGAUUCGAAAAUAGGACCGAAGCUUGGAACUAUGUUUAUGAGCUCAUCCAGGUGGAACUGUACCGUUAUUAGUUUAUUGGAUGGUAAGAA